CGCAUCGUAAACCUAUGACCGCCAGUUAAUUUUAAAC
rnacentral:rRNA from 1 species